rnacentral:rRNA from 1 species
AGUGAACGCUGGCGGUAGGCCUAACACAUGCAAGUCGAACGGCAGCACAGUAAGAGCUUGCUCUUACGGGUGGCGAGUGGCGGACGGGUGAGGAAUACAUCGGAAUCUACUUUUUCGUGGGGGAUAACGUAGGGAAACUUACGCUAAUACCGCAUACGACCUACGGGUGAAAGCAGGGGAUCUUCGGACCUUGCGCGAUUGAAUGAGCCGAUAUCGGAUUAGCUAGUUGGCGGGGUAAAGGCCCACCAAGGCGACGAUCCGUAGCUGUCUGAGAGGAUGAUCAGCCACACUGGAACUGAGACACGGUCCAGACUCCUACGGGAGGCAGCAGUGGGGAAUAUUGGACAAAGGGCGCAAGCCUGAUCCAGCCAUACCGCGUGGGUGAAGAAGGCCUUCGGGUUGUAAAGCCCUUUUGUUGGGAAAGAAAAGCAGCAGGUUAAUACCCCGCUGUUCUGACGGUACCCAAAGAAUAAGCACCGGCUAACUUCGUG